rnacentral:rRNA from 1 species
GAUAAACGCUGGCGGCGCACAUAAGACAUGCAAGUCGAACGGACUUAAUCGAAAUAUUUAUAUUUUGAAGCGGUUAGUGGCGGACUGGUGAGUAACGCGUAAGGAACCUACCUAUUAGAGGGGAAUAACAGUGAGAAAUCAUUGCUAAUACCGCAUAUGCCAUAGAUAUCACAUGAUAACAGUGGGAAAGGAGCAAUCCGCUAAUAGAUGGCCUUGCGUCUGAUUAGAUAGUUGGUGGGGUAACGGCCUACCAAGUCGACGAUCAGUAGCCGGACUGAGAGGUUGAACGGCCACAUUGGGACUGAGAUACGGCCCAGACUCCUACGGGAGGCAGCAGUCGGGAAUAUUGCGCAAUGGAGGAAACUCUGACGCAGUGACGCCGCGUAUAGGAAGAAGGUUUUCGGAUUGUAAACUAUUGUCGUUAGGGAAGAGAAAGGACAGUACCUAAGGAGGAAGCUCCG